rnacentral:rRNA from 1 species
CCCCACUGCUAUCGGGAUGGGACUAAGACAUGCUAGUCGAGCGUCUCCAAGCUAUGGAAGAGACGCGGCACACAGCUCAGUAACACGUGGCUAACCUGCCCUUGGGACAAGGACAACUCCGGGAAACUGGGGCUAAUCCCUGAUAAGUGAGAACUCCUGGAAUGGAUUCUCGCUCAAAGGACGUUUAGACCAUGCUUCUAGGCGUCGCCCAAGGAGGGGGCCGCGACCGAUCAGGUUGUUGGUGAGGUAACGGCUCACCAAGCCUUUAACCGGUACGGGCCGUGAGAGCGGAAGCCCGGAGAUGGGCACUGAGACAAGGGCCCAGGCCCUACGGGGCGCAGCAGUCGCGAAAACUCCGCAAUACACGAAAGUGUGACGGGGCCAUCCCGAGUGCCAUCCGCUGAGGAUGGCUUUUCCCCAGUGUAUAAAGCUGGGGGAAUAAGGAGAGGGCAAGCCUGGUGUCAGCCGCCGCGGUAAUACCAGCUCUCCGAGUGGUGGGGAUGUUUAUUGGGCCUAAAGCAUUCGUAGCCUGCUUGGCAAGUCCUCCGUUAAAUCCAACGAUUCAAUCGUUGGGCUGCGGGGGAUACUGUCCAGCUAGGGGGCGGGAGAGGCCGACGGUAUCCCCGGGGUAGGGGUGAAAUCCUAUAAUCCCGGGAGGACCACCAGUGGCGAAGGCUGUCGGCUAGAACGCGCUCGACGGUGAGGGAUGAAAGCUGGGGGAGCGAACCGGAUUAGAUACCCGGGUAGUCCCAGCUGUAAACGAUGCAGGCUAGGUGUUGGCGCGGCUACGUGCCGCUCCAGUGCCGCAGGGAAGCCGUUAAGCCUGCCGCCUGGGAAGUACGGCCGCAAGGCUGAAACUUAAAGGAAUUGGCGGGGGAGCACCACAAGGUGUGAAGCUUGCGGUUUAAUUGGAGUCAACGCCGGG